CAAUAAAUGACGACUAAGAAGGUUUGAAUUGCUGGCGGGUACGGCGUUUCGAAGUCCCCGACUGACUCGUAAAAAGGAAGCAUGCUAUCCCCAAAAAAGCAUGUGUCUACUGAAAACCAGAUGCCGUCUGUAAAUACUGUGCAUCGUAAAUCUGUUGGACGAACUCCCCUACAGGAUCUCACAACUCAACAAAUUGGUCUUUCUGACCGAAGAAUCACAAGAUCUGCUUCUGCCAAACCUUUGUGCCUUACUCCUACAAGCAACCCGCUAUUAAAGGACACUUCCAAUUGUAACACAGAUACACCUGUACGUGUGUGGGUUGACCGCUACCCUAAAGUUGUAUUGACAGACUGUUUGGCAAACAG